AUCCAGCUGACGAGUUUCAAAUAGGACGAAAUGCGGUUUGUCCUAGAU
rfam:Schistosoma haematobium scaffold3667_2, whole genome shotgun sequence.